rnacentral:rRNA from 1 species
AGAGUUUGAUCAUGGCUCAGGAUGAACGCUGGCGGCGUGCUUAACACAUGCAAGUCGAACGAACCUUCGGGUUAGUGGCGGACGGGUGAGUAACGCGUGGGAAUCUGCCCUCAGGAGGGGGAUAACGGCUGGAAACGGCCGCUAAUACCCCAUAUGCCGAGAGGUGAAAUGAAUUUCGCCUGAGGAUGAGCCCGCGUCUGAUUAGCUUGUUGGUGAGGUAAUGGCUCACCAAGGCUUCGAUCAGUAGCUGGUCUGAGAGGAUGAUCAGCCACACUGGGACUGAGACACGGCCCAGACUCCUACGGGAGGCAGCAGUGGGGAAUUUUCCGCAAUGGGCGAAAGCCUGACGGAGCAACGCCGCGUGAGGGACGAAGGCCUCUGGGCUGUAAACCUCUUUUCUCAAGGAAGAAGAUCUGACGGUACUUGAGGAAUAAGCCACGGCUAAUUCCGUGCCAGCAGCCCGCGGUAAUACGGGAGUGGCAAGCGUUAUCCGGAAUUAUUGGGCGUAAAGCGUCCGCAGGCGGCCUUUCAAGUCUGCUGUUAAAACGUGGAGCUUAACUCCAUCAAGGCAGUGGAAACUGUUGGGCUUGAGUGUGGUAGGGGCAGAGGGAAUUCCCGG